rnacentral:lncRNA from 1 species
CUAGAAUAAGCCAGCUUAACAGUCACAACUGACAACCGAGUUGCAAAUGGCAAGCAGCAGUCUCCACCGUCCACCUGAUCGUGUUGCAGAGCACAGAGAGGGUCCCUGUGCGGGGCUGUUGGCAAUCAGCGUCCCAGCGUCAGUCCAGGCAGAAAUGGAAACACUGAUGACAGCUUGUCAGAGAUUACACACCUGGGAUGUGAUGGAGCAAGAAUUAAGCUCAGCAGUCUGCCUCCUGCACCGCGCUCCUAACAAUUGUUCUCUAUCAUGCACUCCCUUUCAUGUAUUCAGUAUUCUCAAAGAAAACGUUGUUAUAAAACAGCAUACUUAUGACUUUUAUUAUUACAAACGAGUAAAUUUGUGUCUUCUCGGUCUUACAUGAAAAUAAACAUUUUGGCUUAAACCUAUGCAUGAUGCCAGCUGUUUAAUUAUGGACAAAUUCUAAAGAAACAUAGGAUAAGCAUAAAGAAACUUUAUGCUAAGCGUAAAGUUAGGAAAUUCUGAGAGAAA